rnacentral:rRNA from 1 species
CCUACGGGGCGCAGCAGCAGGGAAUAUUGCACAAUGGGCGCAAGCCUGAUGCAGCCAUGCCGCGUGCAUGAAGAAGGCCUUCGGGUUGUAAAGUACUUUCAGUCGGGAGGAAGGUGGUGAGCUUAAUACGCUCAUCAAUUGACGUUACCGACAGAAGAAGCACCGGCUAACUCCGUGCCAGCAGCCGCGGUAAUACGGAGGGUGCAAGCGUUAAUCGGAAUUACUGGGCGUAAAGCGCACGCAGGCGGUUGAUUGAGUCAGAUGUGAAAUCCCCGGGCUUAACCCGGGAAUUGCAUCUGAUACUGGUCAGCUAGAGUCUUGUAGAGGGGGUAGAAUUCCAUGUGAAGCGGUGAAAUGCGUAGAGAUGUGGAGGAAUACCGGUGGCGAAGGCGGCCCCCUGGACAAAGACUGACGCUCAGGUGCGAAAGCGUGGGGAGCAAACAGGAUUAGAUACCCCAGUAGUC